AUUGAACGCUGGCGGCAGGCCUAACACAUGCAAGUCGAACGAGUGGCGGACGGGUGAGUAAUGUCUGGGCAACUGCCUGAUGGGGGGGGAUAACUACUGAAAACUGUAUCUAAUACCGCAUCCCAUCAGAUGUGCCCAGAUGGGAUUAGCUAGGUGGUGGGGUAACGGCUCACCAAGGCGACGAUCCAUCGCUGGUCUGAGAGGAUGACCAGCCACACUGGAACUGAGAAACGGGCCAGACUCCUACGGGAGGCAGCAGUGGGGAAUAUGUGACAAUGGGCGCAAGCCUGCUGCAGCCAUGCCGCGUGUAUGAAGAAGGCCUUCGGGUUGUAAAGUACUUUAAGCGGGGAGGCGUUACCCGCAGAAGAAGCACCGGCUAACUCCGUGCCAGCAGCCGCGGUAAUAC
rnacentral:rRNA from 1 species